UACAGAGGUCUCGAGCGUUAGGCGGAAUCACUGGGCUUAAAGCGUGUGUAGGCGGGUCGGUAAGUACCUUGUGGAAAUCCCACGGCUCAACCGUGGAAACUGCUGGGUAUACUGCCGGAUCUUGUGCAACCUAGGGGCGAGCGGAACAGAUGGUGGAGCGGUGAAAUGCGUAGGAUAUCAAGAGGAACACCAGUGGCGAAGGCGAGUCCCUGGA
rnacentral:rRNA from 1 species